UACGUAGGGUGCAAGCGUUGUCCGGAAUUAUUGGGCGUAAAGAGCGCGCAGGCGGUCGAUCAAGUCGCGUGUGAAAGCCCCCGGCUCAACUGGGAGGGUCACGCGAUACUGAUCGACUCGAAGGCAGGAGAGGGUAGUGGAAUUCCCGGUGUAGUGGUGAAAUGCGUAGAUAUCGGGAGGAACACCAGUGGCGAAGGCGACUACCUGGCCUGUUUCUUGACGCUGAGGAGCGAAAGCCAGGGGAGCAAACGGG
rnacentral:rRNA from 1 species